rnacentral:lncRNA from 1 species
CAACUCUCCAAGUGGACAGUUACAGAAGCUUAGCCUCAGAGCAGGGCCAGCUCUUCUUAGCAGUGCCCUGUGAGGCCAACAACAUCAUUCUACACCCAGAAAAUCUGUUCCAGUCAAGAAUAAAGAAGAACUGACCAAAUUUUAACAAAGCAAAUUCAAUUGACCAGAUGUUAGAUAAGUGAAAAAGCAAAUGGAGAUCAUAGAGCAAGUAGCUAUGACCCCGAGGGUGGGGAGAACAAAUGGAAGAAGAUGGAAGACAAGGGAACACCACAGAGCUGAGACUCAGCCCUGGAAGAGGGGGAUCUGGUAGGCUGGACUAGUGUCUCAGAAUCUCAGAAACGUACCCCCAUCAAGGUGGACCUCAAACCUCUAAGCAAGACAUGCUGAUAUGUCUGAAGCAGCAGUAAGGGACCAGUUCUGUAUUGUGGAAGAACAACAAACUGGAAUCAGCCACUGAUACAGAAACCAGCCACCACAGCCAGGAUGAAGAGCAGUUUCUGGGGUGACACAAACAGGAGCAAGUUUGUUUGUCAUUUCCAGUCUUACAGAUUCGAUCUGGCUUUCCUUGUUGGUCGAGCCUAACAGCAAGCCAGCCCACAAAGGAGAAAUGUAAUUUUCACAGUCCCAGGCCCAGUAUCACAGAGCACGGUAUAAAAGGGUGGGUUUUUAUUUUAAAAAAAGAGGCACUACCUUGGCAAUCACCAAACAUCGAAAAAUUAAAAUAAUCCCAAUAUCCAAAUAAAUUGCAGGUGUUACCAAAACACAAGAAUAAGGGACUAAAUUAUGGCAUUAGCUCAAAACUUACUGAAUGCAGGAAUAGAUUCCCAUAUUAACGUAUAGAGAAAACUUUGUUAUUCUUCAUGCUAGCCCAACUAAGAAUAAAUUAAUUAUGUGCUUUAU